GAGCAACACGUUGCGCACUUUAGAGCAGCCCUCGACAUUUUCAUUUGUGUUCGGGACGUUUAUAAAUCUUCUCCUGGCUGCACUGGAAUCCUAUCUUAUGAUUGUGACCUGUAAAGAUUUUUAUUUUUCAGUAAUACUGGACAGAAUGUCACCAUCUAUCUGUCUGUGGGUGGUUUUUGGCACGCUAUUCCCACUUCUACUGGCGUUAGGGGCGGCUGAGUGUUCAGGGAAGGAGACGUUGCUGAAGUCGAUUCCCAGCAGGGGGACACCACCGACGGACUGUUUGAUGGAGUGCACUGGGAAGACAUACGUCAGAAAGUCUCUGCUUCAGGACAAUCGCAAUAUCCGGCUUAAAGAUUCCACAGAGGGAGACCUCGGGGAACACUGUUGGUCCACUGGGCUCCAGUGCAACAUUGGAGAGAGCUUACUGCGUGCCUAUGUUGUGCUGCCUGUGGAUAUAUCUGCAGCUGGACAUGAGCAGCUAGAAGUAAAAUCCACGGUCCCCACUGCCAGCACUCUGCACGUACAUGACAGCCCGACCACGAUAGAAGAGAGCUGCGGCCUCCGUUAUGACGUCACGCAACACUUUGGCACGCAGAAUGCAGGGACGUCGUUCUGCAUACAGGUUGUCACCCGGGAGGACGAACUCCUUCGGUGUCCUCCCUUUCUGGUCACUUUCUGGCAGAGAAAUCUAAACCAAUCCAACCAACAAGGUGGUGGGUGAAGAAUCAGUGGGAGAAGAAACGUUCAGAUCUUUAAUUUAGGGGGAAAAAAGUAUUAACAACAAAAUAGAAGUCCUGCAUUGAAAUGUUGCGUAAGUAAAACUAUGUAAACUGUACUAUAAGUAUUACAGGCUAAACUACUGAAUGCAGAAAAAUGCACUUCUGGUUCUUAUAUCACAUAAACAAGAUCAUUAGAUUAUUAUUAUUUAUAUAUUAAUGUACAAGCAGGAGUUAUUUGCUCUAGUUGGUUACAGCGAAGCUUAUUUUGACAGUUUUAUAAAAGCCUGACGAUGAUUCUCGUUACAGAUUUUUAUGUUUUUGAUUAACUGAUUGAUCAAUGGAGAGAAGUAGCCAUAGCCCAAUGCAAAAUCUUUACUUCUUUCACUCAGUUGUCCAAAUCAUCAGUCUAAGAAGCUGGAAAAAAAGAAUUGCAUUUCCAUUUUUACAUUAAAACUGACUUAAACUAUCUUUUUUCAUUUCCUCUUGGGGAGUUUGUUUUAUGACAAGCAUCACAUUUGAUAAGUUUUCCAUAUAUUUUAUAUUUUAAAAUCUUAAUUUGUAAAGCUACUAGUAAUAAAAGCUGUCAGAUUCAUGUCCUGAAGAAAAAAUAAAUAAAUAAAUACAUGUGUACAUAACCUAUCUAUUUCCUGUAGUGGACCAGAAGUAAAAAUUAAUUAAUAAAUUAAAUUAAUUUUUUUUUAAAGCAUUGUAAAGUGGAAAUACUCAAGUCCAAGAACUUUUCAGAACCAACAUAACCAUGGUGUUACUGAUGAGAUCAGCAAAGAUAGAUUCAAGUAAUUUCUGUGCAUUUGUAAAACAGAUUUGGAUUCAUUCUUCACCCCUCCUGCCUCUCAGAUUACCUGAGUGAACAGACGGCGGUUCUGAAUGCUUCCAGGUUUCACAAAGCAAAUUCACUUGUUGUUUAUCUGCCAUUCUGACAAAAUGCAUUUGUUGACUUUCCACAGUUGUCAGUCAAGCUACAAUAUAUGUGUGUGUGUGUGUGUGUGUGUGUGUGUGUGCACUAGAUACUCGACAUGACUUCCUGUACAGAUUUCUAAUCCUAAACCUACCAAGUUACUCACUUACAGGAUCUUGUCAACGUUGUGUAUCACUUUGUUUGUUAACAUGAAUUUUCUCAUGAGUUGCUUUUCUGUUGCUGUAUGAAGUAAAUCAUCUCUUUUGCUUUGUUUCCUGCUUUAAUCGUGACGGUCUUUGAUAAUUUUUGAGCAUUAAGUGGACGCUUUGCAUUUGUUGAGAGCUCUGCUGGAUUUACAGCAAGAAUGAGUCAAACUUCUCUGUUAAAUCAUGAAUGUUCUGUCGUUAACGUCAUGUUGUAAUGUCGACGGUUAUAAAUGUUUAUGGUCAUAUUAAAACCUUGAAUUUUUCUUUUA